ACGUAGGGUGCGAGCGUUAAUCGGAAUUACUGGGCGUAAAGCGUGCGUAGGCGGUUUGCCGUGUCCUGUGUGAAAGCCCCGGGCUCAACCUGGGAAUUGCAUGGGAAACUGGCAGGCUUGAGUGUGGCAGAGGAGGGUGGAACUCCGCGUGUAGCAGUGAAAUGCGUAGAGAUGCGGAGGAACACCGAUGGCGAAGGCAGCCCUCUGGGCCAACACUGACGCUCAGGCACGAAAGCGUGGGGAGCAAACAGGA
rnacentral:rRNA from 1 species